GGGGGGGGGGGGGGGGGGGGCGGGGGCGGGCGGGGCGGGCGGACGGACGAGGAGCGUGCUCCGCGGACGUUAGCGGCGGACGGGGGAGUAACACGUGGAUAACCUACCUAUAAGACUGGGAUAACUUCGGGAAACCGGAGCUAAUACCGGAUAAUAUAUUGAACCGCAUGGUUCAAUAGUGAAAGACGGUUUUGCUGUCACUUAUAGAUGGAUCCGCGCCGCAUUAGCUAGUUGGUAAGGUAACGGCUUACCAAGGCAACGAUGCGUAGCCGACCUGAGAGGGUGAUCGGCCACACUGGAACUGAGACACGGUCCAGACUCCUACGGGAGGCAGCAGUAGGGAAUCUUCCGCAAUGGGCGAAAGCCUGACGGAGCAACGCCGCGUGAGUGAUGAAGGUCUUCGGAUCGUAAAACUCUGUUAUUAGGGAAGAACAAAUGUGUAAGUAACUAUGCACGUCUUGACGGUACCUAAUCAGAAAGCCACGGCUAACUACGUG
rnacentral:rRNA from 1 species